rnacentral:rRNA from 1 species
UACGGGGGGAGCAAGCGUUGUUCGGAUUUACUGGGCGUAAAGGGCGCGUAGGCGGUCAGCACAAGUCAGUUGUGAAAUCUCCGGGCUUAACUCAGAAAGGUCAACUGAUACUGUGCGACUAGAGUGCGGAAGGGGCAACUAGAAUUCUCGGUGUAGCGGUGAAAUGCGUAGAUAUCUGGAGGAACAUCAGUGGCGAAGGCGACACCCUGGACUCAUACUGACACUGAGGUGCGAAAGCGUGGGGAGCAAACAGG